GAUGAAGAACGCAGCGAAAUGCGAUAAGUAAUGUGAAUUGCAGAAUUCAGUGAAUCAUCGAAUCUUUGAACGCACAUUGCGCCCCCUGGUAUUCCGGGGGGCAUGCCUGUCCGAGCGUCAUUACAACCCUCAAGCUCAGCUUGGUGUUGGGCCCCGCCGCCCCGGCGGGCCCUAAAGUCAGUGGCGGUGCCGUCCGGCUCCGAGCGUAGUAAUUCUUCUCGCUCUGGAGGUCCGGUCGUGUGCUCGCCAGCAACCCCCAAUUUUUUUCCGGUUGACCCCGGAUCAGGUAGGGAUACCCGCUGAACUUAAGCAUAUCAAUAAGCGGAGGA
rnacentral:misc_RNA from 1 species